rnacentral:lncRNA from 14 species
AUGUGUCUUGCCUCAGCACUGGAGUCUUUCAGUCUGUGUCAGCUGACAUCACUUUAUCAAUCUUCACAAGUUGGCAGAAGUGGCAAGAAGCAGCCAGCCUGCCACCAGAAGUUUUUGGUGAAUUUCUCUCUACGGAGUCAUGACAAUUGGAGCUCAACGAUGCGUGUAAAGCGGACCAAUAGAUGUAUGUCAUCAGGAAGAAUCCUUCAUCACGAGUCCUUUCGUGCGCUUGCUUUAGCAAAACAUCCUCUCACCUGUGUCCAUUUCAGGAAAACACUCCUUCCAUGUGUUUGCCCCAGCAAAAUACCAGCCAACACAACUUUCCAAAGAAACCAGAAGCUUCCACCUCAUUGGACUAUUGAAGCGAGGAUGUUUUUAAGAGAAGCAAACCUGCAGAUUAUCUCACCGAAUUAGUCAGCUUCUAGGCAGGAAACAUGCUACAAUCAACACAAUUUAACGGAAAAGAACACAACUAAGGGACUAUUCACAGGGGCGUUGGCAAGACCGAGGCAACUAGCAACCGUGGGAAGCCAUUCCACCCAGACAGAGUGCUGCAGGGCCAUUGGAAGGAAAAGUGGCCAUUAGCGACCUGCGCCAGCCUGAAGCCGUAGAAGGAAACCUUUUGGACUGUGUGCUUAUUAAAUCUGUCCUUUCUGCCUUCAGGCUUUACCCACCUACAAAACCAUCCUUUAAGUCCUUUUUUAUGAAUCUCAGACCCAGGCAACUGUCCCAUCCUCACCAGGCAACUGCAACGCUCACCAAUUGGAUGACUCUAAAUCUGUCUCCUAUCUUGAGUCUCUCCUGCUCUGCGGGGGACUUCCAAAACAAGUAAAAUCAAAUCAAGCCAAACCCAAACCCAAAAACCCAAAGAAACAAUCCUUUCUUCUACUCCUCCAUUGCACAACGGGUUCACUCCUGCCUUUCUGCCCCUUUCCCUAAUGGGUAAAAGUGUUUCUCAGUGCCAGGCCUGAAGUUCUGCUUUCCUAUUGGCUACUGGCUUUUCUAGUCGUUAAUUAGAUUGAUGUGUCCAUGGUGAAUGUCCCCCUCCUUACCCACCUAAUGAGAGUCCUCAUUCUAUAGACAGUUUGGUCUCAGUGUCUUUCAAUGGCUAAUUGGACUUAGUUCUUUCGAAAUUAAAGAGUCCACAUUAAAUGAUUACAAAUGCUUUCAAUAUUAAUAUGGGUUUUGACCUACUCAAAAUCUGCUUACCUGUGUUCAAAUCCCACCUUACCCUUCCCUUUUACAGCUCACUUUAACCUCCUACGGGACGGCUGUGCUGCCUUCACUUUCUACUAAAAACAUCAGCUCCUCCAUCUUCUUACCCCUGCCUUAACGCUGAAGAGCUCAUACAUUCUUUGCGGAGUGCAGGCUUCUCUCUGCUGCCUCGCCGACGGGCCGAAAGAGAAAUCUUUCCUCCCCAAACCACAUUUCGGAAGAGUAAAGAUUUCCACAACUACACACAUCUCCAACCCAAACUAAAAUGCUGUUGCUUCGCUUCUCUCUCUUGGCUUCAUCUUAACCAUAGGUACAGGAGGGGAGGUCUAUAAAUGCCCAGAACUUCUUAGACUUCACAAGGCAGACUAUUACAAUAGUCAAGAACUUUCAGCAGGGUAUAGGUAUCACAUCCCAUUUAAUCCCAGCAUUCUGGAGGUAAGAGCAGGGUUAUCUGUGAGUCAGAAGUCAGCUUGUUCUACAGAGCAAGUACCAGGACAGUCAGGGGUACAGAGAAAAAAACCCUGUCUGGAAAGACCAAAACCACACUAAACCAAAAUGAACGAACUUUCAAUUAUAUGGGGGUCAAUUAAAUUUACUUCUAGAAGUAGUACUUCAGAACUAUCGGUCUUAGAUUUACAUGUAACUGCUUACAGUAGGACCUGUUUAUCUAUAUCAGAAUCAGUGACAACGAUAGCUUUUUAGAGUCAAAAGUUUUCAACAAGUACAACAAAGUCUCCAGAAAACACUGUGGAGCAGAGGCUGAAGGAAAGGCCAUGCAGAGGCUGCCACACAUGGGGAUCCAUCCCACACGCAGUCACCAAAUCCAGACACUAUUAGGGAUGCCAAGAGGUGCAGACUGACAGGAGCCUGAUAUAGCUGCCUCCUGAGAGGCUCUGCCAGAUCCUGACAAAUACAGAAGUGGAUAAUUGCAGACAAUUAUUGAAUUGAGAACAGGGUCCCCAGUGGAGGGGGGUUAAAGGACUGAGGUAACUGAGGGGCUCUGCAACCCCAUAGGAAGAAAAACAAUAUCAACAAACCAGACGCCCCCAAGCUCCAAGAGAGACUAAACCACCAACCAAUUAUGUAGCACGUGUAGCAGAGGAUGGCCUUGUCCGACAUCAAAGGGAAAACAGACUCUCCUUUGAAGGCUCUAGGCAGGAGUGUAGGGG